GGGCGCAAGCCUGAUGGAGCAACACCGCGUGAGUGAAGAAGGGUUUCGGCUCGUAAAGCUCUGUUGUUGGAGAAAGAACGUUGCGUGAAGAGUAACUGUUCACGCAGUGACGGUAUCCAACCAGAAAGUCACGGCUAACUACGUGCC
rnacentral:rRNA from 1 species